rnacentral:misc_RNA from 1 species
AACAAGGCGUACCUGCGGACCUGCGGAAGGAUCAUUACCGAGUUUACAACUCCCAAACCCAUGUGAACAUACCUAUCGUUGCUUCGGCGGAUCGCCCCGGGCGCCUUGCGUGCCCCGGAUCCAGGCGGCCGCCGGGGGACCUUAACUCUUGUUUUUACUGAGAAUCUUCUGAGUCGUUUUUACAAAUAAAUAAAAACUUUCAGCAACGGAUCU